rnacentral:rRNA from 1 species
CGGAGCCAGCCGUCGAAGGUGGGGGCGAUGAUUGGGGUGAAGUCGUAACAAGGUAGCCGUAUCGGAAGGUGCGGCUGGAUCACCUCCUUUCUAGGGAA